GUUUUAGGUCAAGCAUGUAAUCUGAUAAGUCUGCCAUUAAAUAUUGAGGAAUGCCCUUGCAAAAGUGGUCUUACCUGCCAAGAAUCAAACGGAAGGCUUACUUGUGCAAAAGCAUGAAGAGAAAAUCCUGACACUGAAAUAUUCUUAUUCCUUGUUAUGUUGCCGAACCUUUCUUCCUAAAACUUCGUCAUAUUACGAACUUGUAUGUCAAAACUGCAAUAAAAAUGUUUAUUCAGCUGCAAAA